GCUGACUCCGGGCCGGGUGGCGGGGUGAGCCGGGGGGUGCAAGCAGUGUACGUAAGUACUGGGCGUAAAGGGGUAGGAGGGGGCCAACUAAGUCAGACGUGAAAUCCCCCGGCUGAACCGGGGAACUGCGUCUGAUACUGGAUGGCUUGAGUUUGGGAGAGGGACGCGGAAUUCCAGGUGUAGCGGUGAAAUGCGUAGAUAUCUGGAGGAACACCGGUGGCGAAGGCGGCGUCCUGGACCAACACUGACACUGAAUAGCGAAAGCCAGGGGAGCAAACGGGAUUAGAUACCCGAGUAGUC
rnacentral:rRNA from 1 species